rnacentral:rRNA from 1 species
GGGGAGCAGCCCAGAGUCUGAAUCAGCUUGUGUGUUAGUGGAACGGUCUGGAAAGUCCGACGGUACAGGGUGAUAGUCCCGUACACCAAAAUGCACAGGCUGUGAACUCGAAGAGUAGGGCGGGACACGUGGUAUCCUGUCUGAAUAUGGGGGGACCAUCCUCCAAGGCUAAAUACUCCUGACUGACCGAUAGUGAACCAGUACCGUGAGGGAAAGGCGAAAAGAACCCGGCGAGGGGAGUGAAAAGAACCUGAAACCGUGUACGUACAAGCAGUGGGAGCACCUUCGGGUGUGACUGCGUACCUUUGUAUAAUGGUCAGCGACU